AACGAACGCUGGCGGCAUGCCUAACACAUGCAAGUCGAACGAGACCUUCAGGUCUAGUGGCGCACGGGUGCGUAACGCGUGGGAACCUGCCCUUAGGUUCGGAAUAACUCCCCGAAAGGGGUGCUAAUACCGGAUAAUGUCUUCGGACCAAAGAUUUAUCGCCUUUGGAUGGGCCCGCGUUGGAUUAGCCAGUUGGUAGGGUAAAAGCCUACCAAGGCGACGAUCCAUAGCUGGUCUGAGAGGAUGAUCAGCCACACUGGGACUGAGACACGGCCCAGACUCCUACGGGAGGCAGCAGUGGGGAAUAUUGGACAAUGGGCGAAAGCCUGAUCCAGCAAUGCCGCGUGAGUGAUGAAGGCCUUAGGGUUGUAAAGCUCUUUUACCCGGGAUGAUAAUGACAGUACCGGGAGAAUAAGCUCCGGCUAACUCCGUG
rnacentral:rRNA from 1 species